rnacentral:rRNA from 1 species
UACGAAGGGGGCUAGCGUUGCUCGGAAUCACUGGGCGUAAAGGGUGCGUAGGCGGGUCUUUAAGUCAGGGGUGAAAUCCUGGAGCUCAACUCCAGAACUGCCUUUGAUACUGAAGAUCUUGAGUUCGGGAGAGGUGAGUGGAACUGCGAGUGUAGAGGUGAAAUUCGUAGAUAUUCGCAAGAACACCAGUGGCGAAGGCGGCUCACUGGCCCGAUACUGACGCUGAUGCGCGAAAGCCAGGGGAGCGAACGGG